GAUGAACGCUGGCGGCGUGCCUAAUACAUGCAAGUCGAGCGAACAAACGAGGAUCUUGCUCCUCUUCCGUUAGCUGCGGACGGGUGAGUAACACGUAGAUAACCGACCUAUAAGACUGGGAUAACUUCGGGAAACCUGAUCUAAUACCGGAUAAUAUAUUGAACCGCAUGGUUCUUUAGUCAAAGCCGUUUUUGCUGUCCCUUAUUGAGGUAUUCUCGUCGAAUUAGCUAGUUGGUACGGUAACGGCUUACCAAGGCUAGGAUGCGUAGCUGACCUGAGAGGGUGAUCGGCCACACUGGAACUGAGACACGGUCCAGACUCCUACGGGAGGCAGCAGUAGGGAAUCUUCGGAAAUGGGCGAAAGCCUGACGGAGCAAGGCCGCGUGAGUGAUGAAGGUCUUCGGAUCGUAAAACACGGUUAGUAGGGAAGAAGAAAUGUGGAAGUAAAUAUGCACGUCUUGACGGUACCUAAACAGAAAGCAACGGCUAACUACGUG
rnacentral:rRNA from 1 species